GUAUAUAUAGCUCAGUAGUAGAGUGCAUGCUUUGCAUGCAUGAGGUCCUGGGUUCAAUCCCCAGUACCUCCA
rnacentral:tRNA from 1 species